rnacentral:rRNA from 1 species
CGCGUGGGAACCUUCCCUGUGGUACGGAAUAACUCAGAGAAAUUUGAGCUAAUACCGUAUACGCCCUUCGGGGGAAAGAUUUAUCGCCAUAGGAUGGGCCCGCGUCGGAUUAGCUUGUUGGUGAGGUAAUGGCUCACCAAGGCGACGAUCCGUAGCUGGUCUUAGAGGAUGAUCAGCCACACUGGGACUGAGACACGGCCCAGACUCCUACGGGAGGCAGCAGUGGGGAAUAUUGGACAAUGGGCGCAAGCCUGAUCCAGCCAUGCCGCGUGAGUGACGAAGGCCUUAGGGUUGUAAAGC